rnacentral:rRNA from 1 species
GUUCGAUUCCGGAGAGAGAGCCUGAGAGACGGCUACCACAUUCAAGGAAGGCAGCAGGCACGCAAAUUACCCACUCCUGGCAUGGGGAGGUAGUGACGAUAAAAACGGAACGUAUCACCACGAGACGCGUUACCGGAACGACUGAGCCGUAUACAAGCUCGGCGAAAGCUAUUGGAGGGCAAGUC